rnacentral:lncRNA from 1 species
GAAAAAGAGCCCUGUCCAUUUCUGAAACGAGUUAUAAAUGCACUUUUUUUUUUUUUUUUUUUGCCAUGGAGAAAAUUAGAAUGGUAGAGCUGGAAUCCCCAAAUCUGCGACUUCCCAGUAGAUUCCAUGAGGACUGUGUGAUCAUUUCUGUAUUAGGACAUGUGAAGCACCCUGUGUUUCACCAUAUGGGCUGAAACUCUCCUGGAAGCUAGGCAGACAACAGCCCAUCUCCACGAGUUUGCUCAGGUGGAGCCUGAGGAAGAGCCAGGGGCUCCUGUGGGCAUUUCCAACUGCAUUUCAGUUCUGUGGCAGACUUGACAAGAUACAGUCCAUUGUUUUGAGGAAGUCAGGAUGGGAAUUCCAGAAGCCAGUCACAUCACAUCUGCAAGAGCAAGCAAGAGUCAAGAGCAAGCAGAGAACCAAUGCAUCUUUACUUGCUCUAAGUGAGCUUUCUCCUUUCUCAUACUCUUCAGGACUACUGCCACACCUAAGGAAAGAUGUCACAACAAGCUGGGUCUUCCCACAUCAAGUAACCAUCAAGAUUAAUAUUUCUCAGACAUACCCACAGGCCAGCUUGUUCUACAUUGUCAACUCAAGUCAUCAGUUAAAACUAACCAGUACAAAGAAAAAUGCAAAUCAAAAUCCCAUAACACCUCAGAAAUAGCCACAAUGGUUCAGCUGUUUUAUUAGGGGGGUUGUAUUUUCUGGUCUUCACUGGAAGUUGACCAGAUAUUAAUGUGUAAUGCUCUGCUCUAGUAAUACUGCUUUUCUAACUACUUUGAAAUACAAGAUGUUCAGAUGUGGAGGCUUUCCCAUGGAAAGAGGGUAAGACUCUCAUUCUCAGCCCUUUCUUCCUCUCUUUAAUUUAUGGCACCCUUACCUCUCCCAUAGUCUCUUUACUGUAUUAACUUGGAUAAUAACAGUGUACUUAAUGUGUGCAAGAUGAUAUGAGGUGCAAUACAAAAAGGCAUUGCUUAUCCUGUAGGGCAGUGGCUCUCAACCUUCCUAAUGCUGUGUGACCUUUAGUACAGUUCUUCAUGUUGUGGUGAUCCACAACCAUAAAAUCAUUUCACUGUCACUUCAUAACUGUAAUUUUGCUACUGUUAUGAAUUGUAAUGUAAAUAUCUGAUAUUUCUGAUAGUCUUAGGUGACCCCCAUGGAAGUGUUGUUUAGCCCCAGGCUGAGAGUUGUGACCCACAAGUUGAGAACCACUGCUGUAGAGGAAAUGAGAUGUACAUACAAUAUGGAUUUGAUACGCAGGCUAAGGGUGCAAAUGGUCUCACUAGAAAAGCUCUCCAAAGAGAAGAGAACAGAGAACUUAAAAAAGGAAUCAUAUGUUCUGGUGACAUUUGGCAGGUGGGGAAUGACAUUUGUAGUGGUGUCAAAAUAAAGGGUUUUAUAUGUCUACCUCAAACAAUUUUUUCACAAAAGUACGUAUUUCCAUACUAUAUUUUCAUGUGGCAAUCUUGACUCUGAAGAACUGAUGCCCUUUGGUAUUCAGAGCAGAUGCAGAAGAAACUCUUUCUGUGCUGUCAUUUCAGAAUCUUUGUCAGCUUUCCAUCUAUUCUGCCUUCUAUAAGCAUUGCACCCACAUAGUACCCUAACAUGUGUACAAGCAAACACUCAUACAUAGGAAAUAAAAUGAAUAGAUAAAUGUUUUUUAUAACUAAAAAAUAAAAAAGAUGAUGGAAUCUGUUGACACAAAUAAUUUUUUUUCUCACCUAAUCUGUCAAUUAUAGUGAAAUGUAUCAGUAAUUUGUUAGGAUAAAUUUUGCUGGGUUGUGUUGUCUUAGUCUGUUUUAGGCUUUUUUUCAUACCAUACUGGACUUGACUUUUUAGUAUUCCAAU